UUAGGCGCACACUAAUUGUGCCCACCUGUGGACAUGACACUGAACCAAUGGGCCCAUCACUCCUUGGAAAUAUAAUGGUGUUCUGUGAGGCUCGUAGGAUGAAAGUUGCCGUCACUGGCAGUAGGCUACUCUGGAGGACAGGAGCGUUUUCUUGUGCUUAUUUCACGCUGGGCAUCGUGUGACGAAAGCUCCCUGGAAUCCUGCCUUAUUUCACCCGACAUUUGACUAGUAGACUACCCAUGUUCAUCAAGCUGACGCGCCCUCCCUCCUCCACUCUGACCCCUCGGGCCUCUUGCCCAUAGCACAAACAAGGCCAAGGUAGGCAGCAAUGGCUUACUUGUACUGC